rnacentral:lncRNA from 1 species
GUGCAGGUAGGUCGAGUACUGUUCUCUCUUUCAAUGCCAAGUUGGAUGCAUUUGCCCACCCCAAUCCUCCUCCACUUAGCUAGACUAACAAAACCAACCAAGGAAAAUCCAAGGACCCUGCGGGACCUCCGAAAUUGGAUCUCAAAAGUUGAUAAGAAAUCAUGGAGAAUGAACCCUCUAACAACGCCAGUGAUUCCUAUAAAAAGAUAACAGAGCCAGCAAGAUCCACCACAUUUAGACAACCUUGUCAAGCUUCACUCGUUAUACUAUUUGAUCCAGUUAUUUUAAGAAUGAAAACCGAAUGUAAGCCAGAGCUUCUUUCGUUGCAGUUGGUGGCGGGGAAGGAAUGAGUCUUCAUAGAAAUCUUCAGUAGAUAAUUGAUUGACCCUUGUGAUGUAACGACUUCAUUUAAUUUAAAUCCCAAAUAAAUAACCUCAAUUGGAACAUCUUAAUAACGCACACAAGUACACCGCUGUGACAAAAGAUAAGUUUGACUUAGAAAGUUAUUGAUGAGAAAAAUCUUAACAAGAAUAACAAAUGCGAAUAUACGAAGAAAAGAAUCACGACCUGGAAUCAUAACGUCGGAGGUUUCAGUCCUAAUCAAUAAUCAAAAGGUAACAUUGCGUCUUUUUUCGUCUCUGUCCUUUGUUUAGAAUACGUUUUAAAACAAAACGGUCAAGUCAAUGACAUUUCCAUCAAAAAACACUAAACCCUUGGGAGUUUAAGUUUCAAGAUUCUCAAGACAUAUGACUUAAAAGCUAAGACAACUGACUACCAAGGUUUUUGGACCUAAUACAAAUCAAGGUAUUAUUAUAAAAUAAAAUUAUCUAUAAGUCCAGAGUGUGAAGGAUGAUUAUAAUGGGUAUGUCUUAGCGUAUGGCCAAACAGUAACUGGCAACACAUUUAUAAUAGAGGGACAAGAGUCUUUCAGUUGUGAGUGCAGGAUACCCAAGAUGAUAAAAAAAUGUUCAAAGAAACUGAAACAACUUUUGAAAAAUGAAGGAAUGGCCAUGUAAAUUAGAAUCAAGUUUUCUCUUCAACGGUCUGAGUCGCAUUGUCUUCAUUCACCGAAACAUUGGACUAUUUUUUUAGAAUAGCUACUUGUAAUGAUUAAAGGCAAUUACUUUCUAAUUAUUGAAUAUGACUGAAACCUCUGACGUUAUGAUUCAGAGUUGCGAUCCUUUUCUUCGUAUAUUCGCAUUUGUUAUUCUUAUUAAGAUUUUUCUCAUCAAUAACUUUCUAAGUCAAACUUAUCUUUUGUCACAGCGGUGUACUUGUGUGCGUUAUUAAGAUGUUCAAAUUGAGGUUAUUUAUUUGGGGUUUAGAUAAAAUGAAGUCGUUACAUCACAAAGGUUAAUCAAUUAUCUACUGAAGAUUUCUAUGAAGAAUCAUUCCGUCCCCGCCACCAACUGCAACGAAAGAAGCUCUGGCUAACAUUCAGUUUUCAUUCUUAAAAUAACUGGAUCAAAUAGUAUAACGAGUGAAGCUUGCCAAGGUUGUCUAAAUGUGGUGGAUCUUGCUGGCUCUGAAAGGUUGAAAAAUUCUGGAUCAAAGGAUGUUAAACUCAAAGAAACACAAAAUAUAAAUGAGAACUUCGAUCAUUUGAGUAAUGCAUCAUUGCUUUAGCUCAAAAAGAAUCAUUAGCGUUAUUGGAGGAUGAUAUCGAUCCAAUUUUGGAGGUACCGCAGGGUCCUUCGAUUUUCCCUGGUUGGUUUUCUUAGUCUAGCGAAGUAAGGAAGGAGGAUUAGGGAGACCAAAUACAUCAUCCAAAAAAUUGAGUUCCUUACUAUGAAGGUCAAUUAAUCCCAAAUAGGGCCUGUAACGAAAAGGUUACGAUGAAUUCUAUAUCGUUUAUCAACACAUUUCUUAAUCGUUCUGUAAAUGUACAGUGUGGAAAUUAUGUUCUUAUUCACCUUGAAUUAAUUUUAUAUUUCGACUUUUUUGUAUCAGUUACUUUUAGUGAUAGCCCCAUUCAUGUCCGGGUAUAGAACCCGUUGAAUGAAUUAAGUAAUUUUUUAUGUUACUAUAUUACAACUUUAAUAAAUAAAUAUUUUAUAAA